rnacentral:rRNA from 1 species
CUCCGGUUGAUCCCGCCGGACCCGACUGCUAUCAGAGUGGGACUAAGCCAUGCGAGUCAACAUAGCAAUAUGUGGCAUACGGCUCAGUAACACGUAGUCAACAUGCCCAGGGGACGUGGAUAACCUCGGGAAACUGAGGAUAAACCGCGAUAAGUCACUACUUCUGGAAUGGGUAAUGACUCAAAUCUACAUGGCCCCUGGAUUGGACUGCGGCCGAUCAGGCUGUUGGUGAGGUAAUGGCCCACCAAACCUGUAACCGGUACGGGCUCUGAGAGGAGGAGCCCGGAGAUGGGCACUGAGACAAGGGCCCAGGCCCUAUGGGGCGCAGCAGGCGCGAAACCUCUGCAAUAGGCGAAAGCUUGACAGGGUUACUCUGAGUGAUGCCCGCUAAGGGCAUCUUUUGGCACCUCUAAAAAUGGUGCAGAAUAAGGGGUGGGCAAGUCUGGUGUCAGCCGCCGCGGUAAUACCAGCACCCCGAGUGGUCGGGACGAUUAUUGGGCCUAAAGCAUCCGUAGCUUGUUCUGCAAGUCCUCCGUUAAAUCCACCUGCUCAACAGAUGGGCCGCGGAGGAUACUACAGGGCCAGGAGGCGGGAGAGGCAAGCGGUACUCAGUGGGUAGGGGUAAAAUCCUCUGAUCCACUGAAGACCACCAGUGGCGAAGGCGGCUUGCCAGAACGCGCUCGACGGUGAGGGAUGAAAGCUGGGGGAGCAAACCGGAUUAGAUACCCGGGUAGUCCCAGCUGUAAACGAUGCAGACUCGGUGAUGGGUUGGCUUUGAGCCAACCCAGUGCCGCAGGGAAGCCGUUAAGUCUGCCGCCUGGGGAGUACGGUCGCAAGACUGAAACUUAAAGGAAUUGGCGGGGGAGCA